rnacentral:rRNA from 1 species
AUGGUUCUUGCCUCCCUCUCUCCUCCCUCCUUGGAGCUUGUCCAUUCGUUGGGUGAUCCCUUGCUCUCACGUUCGAGUGUUUGCUCAUCGUUUAGGCCGGUGAGUUACAUUUUUGCUCAUUGCAGUCGCCUCCGGGGUUCUUCGCACCUGGGUAGUACCAGGACCCUUGUGCCCCGGACUGCACUGCCCGUCCUAUGACCCAAAACUCAAAAUUAG